GCCGAAAUGUUCAAUACGCCGACACGAAAUUGCGUAUACGGAUGUGUGGCUAAGGAAAUAUCUGGAGUGUGAGUCCGUGCCUCACUAGUGGAGCUAGCACAUCACUACAUGUACCUCGACGGGCUGAAUCGAAACGUGAACAGUUUCGUACAUGUAUCACCACAAAAAUGGCAGGGUAUCUUUUGUGCGAUUACGUGAAAUCCCUCAGUUCUGUAGCUAAAGCACGAUACGUGGAUAAAACAAGUUGUGUUGGGGUCGAUCCCUACCUAAUAUGUCUUAAAGAUGUAAAGGCAGCGUUAGACUGUACUAAGAGCUGCCAGAUGUAGCAUAUCCCGACAUUUAUCACUACUUGAUAAACACACCCGGCUUUAAUGGACAGUCUCUGAAGGCCUACAAGAAUCUUGAUGCAUACAAAUUUUUCAAGGCAGGAUGGGUGAGGAGCUUAAUGGUUUGUUAAAGGAAGGACAAAUUCAUCCUUUUGUCCUAGAUAGUUGAGAAAAAGAAACAAGGUGACAAGAGACGUGCUUCCACUCCCAGGGCAACAGAAGAAGAGAAGAAAACAUUCUAUGAUGAAUUGAGUGCUUCAGGGGUCAAAAGUGCUAUACUCUCUGUUAUGCCAGAGUACAACCAGAGUUUCAUACCGUGUACAUCACAUUGACUCCCAGCUCCUCUGACUGGAUUGUAUGAUGCUGCUACCUUGGAGAUGACCUUUCCAGAGCUAUUAGACAAACGUUCUGAAAUUCUGACAACCAUGACUGUCUCUCCAGAGGAGGUUGAGGCUAUUGACUCACUAACAAGGUCACAGGCAGCUAGUAAACUUUGGUUUCAGCAAAGACGAGGAAGGAUAACAGCAUCUAAAAUGAAGGCUACAGUAAGAACUGAUCCAGCUAUUGCCAUCACUGUCGUUGAUCAAGUCCAUCUGCUACCCUGAGAACUACAAGUUUACAAUAAAGGUUACAAGGUGGGGAUGUGAGCAUGAGGAAGAAGCAUGUAACAAAUACCGGAAUCACAUGAAAAACUGUCAUUCAGGAUUCACUGUUUCAAGAGCAGGGUUAUUUGUUAGUCCAGAGUAUCCUUAUUUAGGUGCCUCACCAGAUGGGCUUGUAUCUUGUAAAUGCUGUGGAGAAGGAGUACUAGAAAUCAAGUGUCCACUAUGCCUAGAAAGGAAGUGUAUCCAAGAACAGGUUGUUAAUAAGGGAGAACAGUUUUGUCUAACAAGCAAUGAGGCUGGAGAUCAGUACCUUAAUCACGAUCAUGCAUAUUUUUUUCAAGUCCAGUCCCAAAUUCACAUUUCAAGAAGGUCACAUUGUGACUUUGUUGUUUGGGGCCCCAAGUCAUUACACAUAGAAAGAAUCUACCUAGACGGCGAUUUGUGGAAUGAAUGUGUAAGACGGCCAAUGGAGAUGUACUUGCAUGGAGUUCCAGCAGUGUUGCCAAAUUUUUUACAAAAUUCCCAGGACACAGCAAAGAAGUUCUUGUUGAAAAGGGCAUAAACUUCACCAAUGUAUUUUGCUACUGCAGGAGAAAGACAGACGGUACAAUGCUCAGGUGUGACUCCACAUCAUGUAAAUUUGAGAAGUUUCACCUAGCAUGCUUAGGAUUGAAAACGCAACCCAAGAAGAAAAAGUGGUUCUGCCCAGAUUGUAGAACUUCUGCAAAGUUAUCAGAGGCAUAACAGCUAGGUUCACAAUUCAUUGAUGUGAAAAGGAUCCAGCAUACGUGUACAGUGAACAUGAAUUAUUUUACAUAGGCCUUAAUAAUCCGAUUUACUGUCUACAGAUUCCGACUUGAAAAUGACACAGGAAAUAAACCAAAUGAUUACAGGCUAUGCAUCUUAGGUAUAAUUCGGUUUAUUUUAACUUACUGCCUCCAAAAAAAUAAUUCACAGAAAUAUACUUUUAAGCUAUAAUUUAAUAGCUCCAAUGCAGCUUUAUUUCUUACUAUUCUUAAAUCUAUUUUCUUGAUACAUUAGUCAACUUGAAUCUUUGAAAUGAAGCAAUUCAGCUUGGUCUCGAACUGCAAAUAAUUUUCAUGUUCGUACUCUAUACCAUGACUCCUUGAGUUGUUCCAAAUUUCAUGAAGUGAGAGGCCAGAUUUCUACAAAAAAAAAUUAUACACUUUUGCCUUUAUGCUACAGUGGUCUCCUGUACACUUGGGUUAUGUUGGAUUGUAAUUAUUGAAUUGGAAGUCUGAAAUAUUCUAUAAAAAGGAACAACCGAUUUCGCAUA
rnacentral:lncRNA from 1 species